UAGUCAGCAAGUUCUGCAAGUAUGAGC
rnacentral:piRNA from 1 species